rnacentral:lncRNA from 1 species
GGAGAUUGAAAAUUCAUUCACUUUAUCUUAGCGCGCAGGACCCUUUUCUCUGCUUAAACUUUUUUCGAACGAAGUUUGACGACCAUCAUAUGUAAUCUUUCUUUCAUUUGAUAUAAAUACAUGUUAAUUAACUACUUUAGGUAUGAUCUUCAUUUGUUUUCACCAAUUAUUUUUGUGUUCUUGUCCUUCAUAGGCGCAUUCUCU